rnacentral:lncRNA from 1 species
AUCCUCGCCGUCCUACUGGCGGCGGCCAUAAGAGACUGGUUCCAGGUUAGAGGACCUACUCCUACGACACCUCUCGCUUGAUUGUGUGCUUCCAGAAACUCUCUAGCAUCUGUUGUCAGCGACGGUGGCGGUGUUUUGGCGGAGACGUUGGAUAAGGCGAGGAUAAUCAUCAGAAGAAGAGGGAUGAGGAUGGUGAUUGUGGAAGAAGCCAUUUUCGGGUUUGUUUUCUUCUUUCACUAUGUUGUGCUUUAGAGGUUUGGGGAAUCAAGUCAAUACGCACAUUCGAUCAAUUUAUAUGAUUGCGCUUCCUAAUAAUUUGAAUUAAUAAAUAUAAUGGCUCAUGACUGGUUAUCAGAACAUUUAAAUCAAAUGUGUUUGAAUAUUUACGACUCAAUAUUAAUUGUUGAUUUAACCAUAAGGUAUAGUGGGUUAUGCAAACUUCAAGUCCGUAAAUUAGCUUUUUUUAAGGGGCGAGUUGGAGAAUGGUAUAAAAUUCAAUAUUAACCCUCUUCUAACAACUUAAAUUAUUAAGAUGUAACGGUUCAUAAUACGGUUAAUUCGAUAUUCAAAUUUUAAAGGUGGACAUUGAAUUAUUACAUGCCAUUUUACAGAAUUAUCAUUAUAGAAAAAGAUAGAUUGGGGUAUUUUCUUAUAUAGAAAUUUAGUGUUUACAAAUGUUAUUUGAACUAGAGCCUGGCGUUCUCCAGGACCGUACGUAGAGACUACUGAUGUGCGGAUUUUAUCCCGCUAUCAAAUACUCACUAUAUUGUUCUAAUGGAAUCGUUUAUUUCCCUAGAGUCUUUCUUCUUAUAUUACUCAAGUUGAUUUGCUAACUAGACCAAGUGACAGCGUAAUGAUUGUUUGUUUGAUUAUCUCGAUAUUCAAUUAUGAACUAAUGACUGAAAUAAAACGAAUAAAAAUGCAAGGAAUCGAGUUUCAAAUAUAAGAUGAAGGUUGCUCGGAUUCAAAUCCACCAAAACUAGCAAUGCAUGGAUGACUGACAAGUUAUCUCGAUUAUUCAGGUUAUAAUGGCUUGACAAUUUCCCAAUGUUGUCUUAGAUCACUCUCGCGCCUCUAAGAAUCUAUUUCGUCUAACCGUAGACUCCUCUCUCGAGCUAAUCUACACCUAAACAAAAUGUAUUAAUAGUGUUCGAUGAAAUGGCACAAUGAUAAACAUGCAAAAAGUCUAAACGAUUCGCUCCUCUCGAGCUAACGAAUAAUAUAGGGUUCUUCCCAAGCGACCUAUCAAUCUAUGUUCCUCUCGGACCCACAAAUCAAUGUCGAUGACUCAAUCAAGAUGAUCAGACAAGAAUGAAUCUAAAAUUAGGGUUUAGGAAGAACGCAUCAUAAGUUUGAAUAAACCUCGAUAACAAAUCAAAUCAUCCAUACAAAAGCUUAGCUAAAGCUUCAUCUCAUCCGAGCAACACAGAAAGUUAGCUACUCAUGGUUCCGGAAAAUAAAUCACAAGAGAAGAGAAGAAAAAUCGAAGAAGACGACAUGUUCUUCGUGGAAAUCCCAAUCUUCGAUUUGAUGAUUUGUCCUUCGCCAGUCAUGGUUGAUCCUCUCGCUUCAAUCGUCUCUUUGGAACUCUAAUUCUCUCCAAGAGCUCGAAAAAUAUGCGUCUAUUCAUUAUAUGGAACCCUCUCUCUCUCCAAGAGCUCAAAAAAUAUGUGUAUAAUGAAGUAUAUCUCGUCCACGGGUCUCAGGGGUAUUUAUAGGCUUCUGGACCCAAUUGGAGAAGGAAAAGGACUUGAAAAUCCGUCUGGGGGUGGGACACGGCGUGCUCCAUGUGAAACACGCCGUGUUCCAUGGACACGGCCGUGUUCCUGGCCGUGUUCGGUCCCUGUAACUUUCUCGGGCAAUUUCAGCGGAGGAACACGCCGUGUUCCUUCAUUAUACGGAAUUUGACCAUAGUGUCCACACCAAAGUUGUAGACAAUCGAAUUAUCUUUCCAACGCCGCUGACUUUGCAUCAAUUGGACUUCAGAGCGAUGAGUUAUGCUCAAAAGACUAAACAGUGACGCUUUCUUCCCAAGUCGAAUGCUUUGAGUUGUUCCGUCCUCCCAAUCAUGUCUUGAUUUAUCUCUAAACGUCAUAUGACACCUGAAAUGUACUAAAAACAUAUCAAACACCAUAAUACGUCCCCGAGGGGUAAGAGAACCAAACAUGUAUUCAAAACCAAAAUUUGAAUACAUUUCGACACACAAAAAUAUAGUUUAUAAAGAGAAAAGGUGUGUCGAAAAUACAUCACAUCAACUACAUCUCCGAUAGGGUAUCUCUACAUUUCUGAUAUGGUGUCUUGUAUGCUGCAGAAUGAUUAUUCUUCAAUAAUAUAAGGAUUGAUGUUCAACUGAAUUAAGACAUAGUUUGGAGGGAUAAUUAAAGGUUCAGCCAUAGUCGAAUUGCUAAAAAUUUGUUGUAAAUCAAAUCAUUGCUACACGAAAAUCAUGAAGCAAGGAUGAAUUGGUGGAAAGCUUGGAUUGAAGAUUGAAGACACAAGACCAUUAAGUGUUCCUUUUAGGAUUGCAAGAAUGGUGUACUUGUUCUUUUCUUUUCUCUUUACUUGUUUUGCCAUUUUGCCAUUGUAGAUUAGAUUUAAUGUGUUAAUGUAAGAAUGAUUCCUUAAAAUAUGCGGUCAGACAAGAUUUGGAUGUUGAUGGGUAUUUGUAUUUGUUCUUCCAACAUAUGCUUAAUUCAAUUAUUUAUUAUGGUUUGUUUUGAAUGAAUGCACAAUCCGUUGACACAUGAAUUACAAGUCUACUAUAAGUAAUACGUUAUUUAUUAAACUAAUGAUUUUUGUCUUCCUCUCUUGUCGAGAAGAUUGGAGCAUACAAGCACUACAUGACCGUUGAGCUCUGCACCUAUAAAUUGUCAGCUCCACAACCUCACAAAAGCAUCGAUUGAGUGAGUUGAUAUACUAAGUAAAGGAUCAAGUUCGUAUAUGGGGAGUUGCGAUAUCGGGCAGUGGGGUUCGAGAGUAGAAGCAAUCUAGCGGGGAGCUUUGAUUGUUGUAUUACGGAGACUAAUGCAUUCUUCUACUUCUUAUGUCCUUUGUAUUUGGUAUUGGUUAAUUCGUCAUUAAGAUCAGACAAUAUCAGAGGAUAAUAUCUGAGCGAGGAUUAACGCCUAACUAUAAAAUUAAUAGGUGGAACCUGUUCAAAUCGGGUUAUCUUCUUUAUCGCUUUUCAUACUAAGUUACAACAUCUUCAAAAGGAUUAAAUUAUUAAACAUAAACUUAUUGGCUCAAAGUUAAAGCUCAACAUCAGGAAUAACAAAGUGUAAGCAGACUAUUUUUGAAUUCACAAUAUCUUUC